rnacentral:rRNA from 1 species
CCUACGGGUGGCUGCAGCGGGGAAUAUUGCACAAUGGGCGCAAGCCUGAUGCAGCCAUGCCGCGUGUGUGAAGAAGGCCUUCGGGUUGUAAAGCACUUUCAGCGGGGAGGAAGGCGUUAAGGUUAAUAACCUUGUCGAUUGACGUUCCCUGCAGAAGAAGCACCGGCUAACUCCGUGCCAGCAGCCGCGGUAAUACGGAGGGUGCAAGCGUUAAUCGGAAUUACUGGGCGUAAAGCGCACGCAGGCGGUCUGUCAAGUCGGAUGUGAAAUCCCCGGGCUCAACCUGGGAACUGCAUUCGAAACUGGCAGGCUAGAGUCUUAUAGAGGGGGGUAGAAUUCCAGGUGUAGCGGUGAAAUGCGUAGAGAUCUGGAGGAAUACCGGUGGCGAAGGCGGCCCCCUGGACAAAGACUGACGCUCAGGUGCGAAAGCGUGGGGAGCAAACAGGAUUAGAUACCCGAGUAGUC